rnacentral:lncRNA from 1 species
UAACCUUCCUGGUAAACCAGACGGGAAUGCAUUAUAUUUCAAAUUAAAAGGUAACUUUUAGAUUUAUGUGGUAUUUCAAAAAUAGAUGUAUUCUUCUCUAGAUACAUUAUCCAUUGUCCCUUAUACGAGGAUGACUUAAAAAUAUGAAAUUUAUAUACGUUUAUUUUUUUCAACUUUCGUUUUUGGCUCGUAUAGAACCAUGAUAACAUACACAUGUUUAUGAUUAUUUAUACCAUGUCCCAGUUCUGGGGCAAACUGUUGUCUUUGAUUUAUAAUUUCAUUGCUAUAAAAAAGGAUAUGAAUGGUACUAUACCAAUACUUGGAUCUUCAUAUACUAACCAUUGUACCAUGGAAGGCUACUAACACAACUUUAAUAAAUAUGCAUGGUGUACAUUGUUUCAAUACCCCAGCUUCUACAAAGGGGUCAGUCGACAAAACACCAAAGAAAUACCACCAAAUCGAAAGAAAAGUCCAAAUCUUGUAAUAAUAAAUAUAUCUUUAUAUGUGAAAAAAAGAACAAAUUUCCAAAUUUUAUUUGACAUAAUUGGUUACAACAUAAUGCAAAGAACCGUAACUCUUAUCCUUUUUGUGUAACAAUAUAAUAUGUAAUAAUAACUAAUAUAGUUUUUAAUUUAAACUCCUAAAAAGAAAAUAGGAAAAAAGAAACUUAACACAUUUGAUUCAAAACAUGUGUUUUCAAUCAAUAUAAUCAUUCAUUUUCGAAUUUUAAAACAUUUUUAAAUGGUUGCUAUGGAAACAAACUAUUUAGUAAAUUCAAAGUUUUAAACUUUUUUCGAAUAGUUUGGGGUUUUGUGCUGUUAACAUUUGUAAAUACCAUAUUGUUUUAUAUGAUUAACAAAAUUUCGAUGGGACUUUAAAUUCCCUUAUUUUCAAUUUCAAAAGUGUCUUUUUCACCUAUAUUCAGGCAAAAUGUUGUAUUGACGGUUACCAUGGCAAUGCACAUUAUACAGGAAAAAUAAUGACAAAAUUUACUCAUAUACCAAUGUUUUAUCAUAUAGGGCAAAACAAAUUAAUUCUGUGACAUGUCAUGAAUCACCCUCUGCAUGAUUUUUAAAAAUACAGGUACUUUAAACCCAAGUCAAAUUGAAUUCAAUUUUAGAAUAUUUACUUUUAAAGAUGGUACCACCGACUGCAAAACUAUUGUUAUGGCUAAUCAUUUAUCAUUGAUUCUAAUUUUGUAGUGUGUUUAAUGGCUGCAUCAUCUCAAAGCUGUGGUGUUUGUGACCUCCGUCACAUCACAAAACCAUGCAUAGUCUGGUGUACAGAAUGUGACGAGGGACUAUGUUCAGAUUGCAAGGAGCAUCAUAGUUUGUCUAAGUCAUCGAGAAGCCACAGUGUGAUACCUAUUGCCGAAUACCAGAAACUGCCAGCGGAUGUACUGAAAAUUACUCAGUAUUGUACCAGUCACGAUAAAAAAUAUCAAUUCUAUUGCCAGAAGCAUGAAUGUCCCUGCUGCAGCACAUGUAUCGUGGAAUGUCACAAAGAGUGCCGGGAAAUUGUCGAAUUAGAGAAUAUCAUUCGUAACGCCAAAUCCUCCAAUGCUAUGUGCGAGAUAGAGGAAUCAUUAGUUGAGAUAGCAGAAAAUCUAAAGAAGAUUCGCCAGCAUCAACAAGUCAAUCU